ensembl:lncRNA
CUAUCGAAGGAGGGGAGGAGCCUCUUCCGUUCAUCUACUAACUAAUUGGCUAUCGAAGGAGGGGAGGAGCCUCUUCCGUUCAUCUACUAACUAAUUAGCACCACUCGACCACUAAUCGGUUUCCGGAUCACGCAGGAGAGAGGACAGACUUUUUCCCAAAUGAGAAAAGGCCGUCCAUACAUACAUAGAAGAGUCUGUCCUUCUAGCGGUUGAUACUCAGAGAGAUACUAGUCUCUCUGAGACCAGAGGGACAGGUCAGUAAAACACAGAACAAUAAGGGACGAAAAUAGCUUUGAAUAGCUUUUCCCUGAAUAGGAGAAACUCUGGGGCUCCACGCUCACGUCGCUGACUGUCUGUGUAGGAAAACAAUAUGGCCACCCUGCAGUGAGAAGAGAACACCACUCAGCCUGACAACCAGGCUUCAUUGGGUGAGUCUGGGACUACGUCCUAAAUGGCACCCUAUUCCCUACAUAGUGCACUACUUUAUACCAGAGCUCUAUGGGCCCUGGCACCCUAUUCCCUAUAUAGUGCACUACUUUAGACCAGAGCCCUAUUCCCUACAUAGUGCACUACUUUAGACCAGAGCCCUAUGGCACCCUAUUCCCUACAUAGUGCACUACUUUAGACCAGAGCCUGUGUAGGGAAUAGGGUGACGUUCACUGUCUGCACUGGAAACUGGUGCAGAGAGGAGAGGAGGAGAGAGAGAAAGGAAGGAAAGGAGGAGAGAGAGAAAGGAAGGAAAGGAGGAGAGAGAGAAAGAAAGGAAAGGAAAGGAGGAGAGAGAGAAAGAAGAAAGGAAAGGAGGAGAGAGAGAAAGGAAGGAGAGGAAAACUGGCAGGCAGACUGGAUGACUCUGGGGAGAAGAGAGGAGGGAGGGAGGGGAGAAGGAGGGAGGGAGAUGGGAGGUAAAGAACAAGGAGGGAGGGAGAUGGGAGGUAAAGAACAAGGAGGGAGGGAGAUGGGAGGUAAAGAGGAAGGGAGUCUGGAGAGAAUGCAAAGUGAGGGAGAUGGAUAGAUGUAAAGUGGAAGAGAGGGAGAAGGGAGAGUGAGGAGAUAUGAGGGAGAGAGAGCAGGCAGAGUGAGGGAGAGAGAGAGAGCAGGCAGAGUGAGGGAGAGAGAGAGAGCAGGCAGAGUGAGGGAGAUGGAGGGAGAGAGAGCAGGCAGAGUGAGGGAGAUGUAGGGAGAGAGAGCAGGCAGAGUGAGGGAGAUGUAGGGAGAGAGAGCAGGCAGAGUGAGGGAGAUGUAGG